rnacentral:lncRNA from 10 species
AACUCAGAAAGAUGCUAACUUCCCUGUAGUAAAUCACAGCCCUAGUUCUGUCCAAAGGCUGAUGUGACUCUUUCCACAUUGCAAUUUAGUCCAGAAGAAAAAAAUUUUUCAUUUUAAGAAAAUAAUUUUUAAAAAUUCGUUUAUUUUUAAGAAACAUUUUCAUUUUCUGGUGAUGUUCAUACUCCCUAACAAUAUCUUUUCUUUUAUUCAAAAGACGUUAUUGGCUGGGCACAGCAGCUCAGGCCUGUAAUCUCAAAACUUUGGGAGGCCAGUGGGGGCAGAUCAUUAGAGGUCA